AUGGCUUUUGUAGGGAGUUAUCCUGAAAAGGAUUGAGAUCUAGGCUGAUUACAACUUUUAGACACAAAUCUGGCUUGAGACCAGAGUUUGUAUGUUUGUUUGUUUGAUUGGUUGAGUGUCCUUGUCUCUUGGGCCUCUUCCUCCUUUUAUAGACAUUUUAUCUUGGCUGUUGCAUAUUGUCUUGAGAUGGAUGGUUGGGCUUAGUGCUCGGCCUCAGGCGAGUUUCUUCACUUUGGCUCUUUUGGGCUUCUAUUCCUUUAAGUCCAAAGUUCAAAUAUUGACCCAAACAGUGCCCCCUUUAAUCAUUGUUGAGGCUGCAAUCUGAUGUGAAAAAUAAGUUAACACACAAAAUUAAACCCUCUUUUUAUCAAUUGUAGUAAAGUAUGUAAGUAGGGAUCGUUCUAGGCCGGGGAUUAGGAGGGAUUUCUAAAUCACUUGGAAACUGACUUGAAAACGUAAAAACAAAGUUUAAAACACUAACUAGACUCAAAGAAUGCAAAACUAUAGUUUAAAACACUAAAACAAACCGAAAGACUCAAAACAGCCCCUAAACACUCAAAACUACCUUAAACACACAAUCUGGGCAGUUUUGGGACUCUACACAAACUUGGACGAAUUUUGGUUUUCUAAUGAACUAAAACACUUAAAAACAUAAUCUAAGACAAGUUCUAAUUAAUAUGACUCAAAGAAAUAAGAUGGGGUUGAUUUUGGACGAAAAUAAUUAAAUUAAGACAAGAACAAAGUAAACAAAUUCUUAGACAAUUUUAAGUGAAUCAAAACAGAUUGUAAAAUGAAUUUGAAUGAAACUUAUGGAUGGAAGGCUAGCUAGGAGGUUCUUCUCCACACAUGUCACACUUGCAUACAAAACGAUUUCCAGUUGCUUUUCGAUAAGCUAUGAAUACUCAACGCCCCAAAUUAACCGUGAAUUGCACUAAUUAACCCUCAGUUUUUCCACAAGUUAUUAGGUUGGAUGAUUGCAUAUGACAACCCAAAACAUUCCCUACAAGUUCCCUACAUGAAUUGCAUAAUAGAGAUACAAGCAAAAAUCAUUAAGUUCUAUGAAAAACAUAAGCAUUGAGGAGGCACUCGUUACUAUGAUUUGCAUGAAACUUAUGCGAAGAAUUUACUUAACGUGAUUGUGACUAGCAACCUUCACUACUUGUGAAUAUAAGUUCAUAACGAUU
rnacentral:lncRNA from 1 species